rnacentral:rRNA from 1 species
AUUGAACGCUGGCGGCAGGCCUAACCCAUGCAAGUCGAACGGUAGCACAGAGGAGCUUGCUCCUUGGGUGACGAGUGGCGGACGGGUGAGUAAUGUCUGGGAAACUGCCCGAUGGAGGGGGAUAACUACUGGAAACGGUAGCUAAUACCGCGUAACGUCUUCGGACCAAAGUGGGGGACCUUCGGGCCUCACACCAUCGGAUGCGCCCAGAUGGGAUUAGCUAGUAGGUGGGGUAAUGGCUCACCUAGGCGACGAUCCCUAGCUGGUCUGAGAGGAUGACCAGCCACACUGGAACUGAGACACGGUCCAGACUCCUACGGGAGGCAGCAGUGGGGAAUAUUGCACAAUGGGCGCAAGCCUGAUGCAGCCAUGCCGCGUGUAUGAAGAAGGCCUUCGGGUUGUAAAGUACUUUCAGCGGGGAGGAAGGCGUUAAGGUUAAUAACCUUGGCGAUUGACGUUACCCGCAGAAGAAGCACCGGCUAACUCCGUGCCAGCCGCCGCCGUAACAC